rnacentral:rRNA from 1 species
UGCGCAGGCGGUGAUGUAAGACCGAUGUGAAAUCCCCGGGCUUAACCUGGGAACUGCAUUGGUGACUGCAUUGCUGGAGUAUGGCAGAGGGGGGUGGAAUUCCACGUGUAGCAGUGAAAUGCGUAGAGAUGUGGAGGAACACCGAUGGCGAAGGCAGCCCCCUGGGCCAAUACUGACGCUCAUGCACGAAAGCGUGGGGAGCAAACA